AGUGAACGCUGGCGGUAGGCCUAACACAUGCAAGUCGAACGGCAGCACAGUAAGAGUUUGCUCUUACGGGUGGCGAGUGGCGGACGGGUGAGGAAUACAUCGGAAUCUACUUUUUCGUGGGGGAUAACGUAGGGAAACUUACGCUACUACCGAAUACGUUCUACGGGUGAAAGCAGGGGUUCUUCGGACCUUGCGCGAUUGAAUGAGCCGAUGUCGGAUUAGCUAGUUGGCAGGGUAAAGGCCCACCAAGGCGACGAUCCGUAGCUGGUCUGAGAGGAUGAUCAGCCACACUGGAACUGAGACACGGUCCAGACUCCUACGGGAGGCAGCAGUGGGGAAUAUUGGACAAUGGGCGCAAGCCUGAUCCAGCCAUACCGCGUGGGUGAAGAAGGCCUUCGGGUUGUAAAGCCCUGUUAUUGGGAAAGAAAAGCAGCAGGUUAAUACCCCGCUGUUCUGACGGUACCCAAAGAAUAAGCACCGGCUAACUUCGUG
rnacentral:rRNA from 1 species